rnacentral:rRNA from 1 species
AUACUGGCUGGAGACCGAUAGCGCACAAGUAGAGUGAUCGAAAGAUGAAAAGCACUUUGGAAAGAGAGUCAAAAAGUACGUGAAAUUGUUGAAAGGGAAGCGCUUGCAACCAGACCUGCCCGUAGGCGAUCAGCCGCUGUUCUCAGCGGUGCACUCGCUCUGCGAUCAGGCCAGCAUCGGUUUUGGCGGCUGGAUAAAGGCCUUGGGAAUGUAGCUCCCCUUCGGGGGAGUCUUAUAGCCCUCGGUGCAAUGCGGCCAGCCGAGACCGAGGACCGCGCUUCGGCUAGGAUGCUGGCGUAAUGGUUGUAAGCGACCCGUCUUGAAACACGGACCAAGGAGUCUAACAUCGAUGCGAGUGUUUGGGUGUCAAACCCAUGCGCGAAAUGAAAGUGAACGGAGGUGAGAACCCUUAAGGGCGCAUCAUCGACCGAUCCAGAUGUCUUCGGAUGGAUUUGAGUAUGAGCAUCGCUGUUGGGACCCGAAAGGCAAGCUGCCCAGUAACAUCCUUAUAUAGAACCCAAGCUAACAUUUUGUCCAGAUGGUGAACUAUGCCUGAAUAGGGUGAAGCCAGAGGAAACUCUGGUGGAGGCUCGCAGCGGUUCUGACGUGCAAAUCGAUCGUCAAAUUUGGGUAUAGGGGCGAAAGACUAAUCGAACCAUGUAUAUUUUGGGCUCUAGGUGGUUAAUAAAAGCACCUCGGACUCGCGAGAGCUUUCAGUCCUCCGGGGCAACAUCACUACUUGCAUAGACAGACCUUUAAAGGUUGAUAUGCCGCGGUUCUCCCCUAAAGGGGUUCCGUUCACAGACCAAAUAGUGAUGGCCGGGCGCUCUAUCUUAGGGCAUGCCCGGUUCAGAUAUGGCCGAGUCCCACUCUUAACGGAGUUUGAUCUCGGG